AUUGAACGCUGGCGGCAUGCCUUACACAUGCAAGUCGAACGGCAGCACGGGAGCAAUCCUGGUGGCGAGUGGCGAACGGGUGAGUAAUAUAUCGGAACGUGCCCAGUCGUGGGGGAUAACGUAGCGAAAGCUACGCUAAUACCGCAUACGAUCUAUGGAUGAAAGCGGGGGAUCGCAAGACCCUCGCGCGAUUGGAGCGGCCGAUAUCAGAUUAGGUAGUUGGUGAGGUAAAGGCUCACCAAGCCGACGAUCUGUAGCUGGUCUGAGAGGACGACCAGCCACACUGGGACUGAGACACGGCCCAGACUCCUACGGGAGGCAGCAGUGGGGAAUUUUGGACAAGUGGGCGGCAAGCCUGAUCCAGCAAUGCCGCGUGCAGGAUGAAGGCCUCGG
rnacentral:rRNA from 1 species